ACUGCAUUUUUUGCAGCAAGUAUUGGGCAGGAAUUGACACCUCCAAACACGGCAUCCCGCUUUCAGCAGACGCACCAGAAGUCACCCCCUCAAUCCCCCAUAUAAAUACUACUGCUACUAUUAGUAAUACCACCAUCAUCCCAAACCCACAACGCAACAAACCCAAACAACACUUCUUUCUUCCCCUCUCUCUCUCUAUCUCCCCCUCAUUCUCCCUGCAAACUUUACCUCUCAAGUCCGGAAUUCCACCUCUUCCUCCUCCGCUUUCGACCGUAUUCCACAGACUCACACACUAGCACUGGCUUUCUUUGUCUUCAAGUCAAAGCCACCGACCAUCCCGCCUUUUGUAUGACCAAAGCAGCGAUACUGGUAUUGGUCUGAUGGCAACCGCUCCGAUAAAAUCACAGCCGCUGCAUAACUUCUCCUUGCCCCACCUGAGAUGGGUCCACAAAAACUCCCCCCACCAGCAAUCACCUCCUCAUUCCACCCUUCAGCACCGCCGUGAUUCACCCGACUUCGACCCUCCUGGAAACGACAACAACACCACCGCCGCCGCUUCCCCCAAGCCUGCCUCUCGUACCCCUCGUAAGCCGCAGCCGUUUUCUUCUCCUUGUCUCGCUUCUUUCCCGUCUGCUUCUUCCACUCAUCAAAAUCAGAAAGCUGAGCAAGGCGACGACGUGGUGGAAGAAGGCCAUAAGCCGUGGAAUUUGAGGCCGAGGAAAGUGGUGACUUACCCAACAAGCACUGCUACUUUUACUACUCCGUCAUCGUUCAGGAAGAAUGAUAAAGAAAAGGAAAAAUUGCAGGAGGAAACCGGGUCGUCUUUGAGGAAUAGUAAUAUUAGCAAUGAGAGUGUUCUAUUGAAGUCAUCGAGUUCGUGUAGGGUGGUUAGAGGAGGAGCAACGGUGGCGGGGUAUGUUGGCGGUGGAGUAGCGUGCCCGGGCUUCGCCGGGACGGAGCGGCAGCAGAGGAAGGUGGUGGAGGAGAAGAGGAAGUUAUGGAUCUCGCUCUCCAAGGAGGAGAUUGAGGAGGACGUGUACUCUUUGACUGGGUCUAGGCCCUCUCGCCGGCCCAAGAAACGGCCCAGGACUGUCCAGAAGCAGCUUGACAAUGUAUUUCCAGGGUUGUAUUUGGUGGGGUUGAGUAUUGAUUCCUAUCGUGUUCAUGAUUCUUUGAGGUAGAUAUGAUGCAUUUGAUGAUGUCACAUUCUUGCUAUUCUCGGAAAGGUAUUGCGGCGAUUUAGAGAGAAUGUGAAGGUUGGAAAGCUUGGAGUUUGCUAGUUGAUGCCUCAGCAGGAGGCUUCCCGACCCUGUUGGGGGCAGAGCUCAUAAUCGUAUUUAGUUACCAAAGUGAAUCCUUUUCAAGAUUUACUAACGGAGGUGCUGCUUUCUUCCCCUUCUUGAAGGACAUUUGUGUCAGUUGUUUCUUUUGGCAAGAGCAAAACCUGAUGAGGUCAAAAGUUCGCAUUUUAGCUGCAUGCUUUCCCUUUGUUGUGUUAUUGCACCAAAUAUGAGUAUAUUGGCAUUUUGGUGGGCCAUUUCGUUUUAGUGAUUCAUUUAUGUGCAGACAAGUUUAAUUUCUGUAAGAGAGUGAUAUAAGUUGACAAACAUAGAAAACAUUUUCUUAUUUUGGUGCCAAAUAUACAGUAUAGUUGCAAGUUCUAGACCAUCUAAUGAGCAUAGUACAUGUCACAAAAGGGUUUUGACAAAAACCAGCUCAUUUUUGAACUUCAAUAUUCUGCUUAUUAGGAGACUUCAGAGAGAUUUUAUCUGCAUUACAGAUUGUAUGAAGGUAAACAUUGCAAGCUGUGGGACUGUCUUGCGAGCCGCUGUCAGAAGUAAUUUCUUUAUGCAACUUCAUAGAUGUUAUUGUCUCUAUGGCUUUGUGCAACUUUUCAAGGUUAAGAAAACAUGUUUUUGAAUUUUUGAA